ACCAAAAAAAAAAAAACCGAAACCCACUCGGGCUUCCAGCUUAGACCUCUUAUGGGAUUUCUGAGUGUAGAACAAGUGGAUCUUUGUGCCUAAGUCUGUUCAUGUGCCCUUGGGGGGCUCUCUUCCUUCUAUUUAUUUGUUUUAUCCUAUAUAUUUAUGAAGUAUUAGCUUUUGUUUUAUAUUGUUAUAUUUUAUUAUUUUCAUUUAGGUGAUCAUUUGUUUCCUAAUGAGAGGCAGAAGGAAUGGAACCAGACAGGAGGGGAAGGGGGAAAGAAUUUGGAGAAGUAAAGGGAGGGGAAACUAUAACCAGAAUAUAUUGCUUUAUAUAAAUAUUUAAAUGUAAUAAUAAAUGCCACUAGCUACUACAGUCACAAUAGAAAGCUAUGAUGUAAGAACGCUACUUUUGAAGUGUUUUCUAUCUUUUGAAGACAUUUGGGAAAUUGAAAAUUUAUGAAAUAAAUUCUAGACAUUUGUUUUGAUUUAAAGAAUAUAGGGAUAUACACAAUUUAGAUGGCAUAUAGAAAACUUUCUCACUAAAAUGAACAAAGCUAUCUUUUAAAAUCAACAAUUAAUCACAGUUAUUCUGAAUUUUUCUUCCUUUAAAGGCAACUCAGUUGUUAAUUCAGCCAUUAGACUUUAAAAAUAACAGCCAUAAUGAAACAAAUCAUAUGGUAAUGAAAAGUCGUCCUUUCUGGUUUUCUAAUGAUAAAAAUACACUGUUACCUUUUCUAAUGUAUCUGAGUGCGCUUGUCCUGAAAUCCUUAGUCUUACGGCAUUUGAAGGCUCUCUGCAGUGAAUUGACUAACAUAGUAUAUCUUACCUGCAUUUGAUUGUAUCCUUACAGAGAAUAUCAUGGGAUACAUACAUUGUAUUUUACGGUGACAAAUCUGAGCUCUGCUGUUGUAUUCAGAGAGCAUGUUGUGAUUUUCUGCUAUUAUUUUCCUGGUAUCGAUUAGGAUGGAAUAUAUAGGUCACUUUGCAUUGAUUGAUGCAUCAGUAAGCAAGAAGCUUUUUCCUCUGUGCCGAGAUGAUACCUGAGAACGAGCGAUGUCACUUUUGCACAGAAAUGUAACCUUUGAAUGUGUCUAUCCUACAACCAAGUACAUAAGCUCAAACAGCAGUAUAUAUGAACUGAAACAAGAGACUGAAGUGACUGACCCGGAGGAGAUGCAUUUCAACAGAAAACCUGGAUGGCACCACCAUACAUGGCUAAUCUGCUGGUUCUGUAAAAUGAAGAAAUGGCUCUCUGCUUGGAAGAGUGAAGCUUACUCUAUACCUAAAGCCACAUACCUAACUGGUGUCAGCCAAAACGCUAUAGAAACUAAUCACACACUGUUGCAUGCAAAAAGGAUGUUGCCUUCAGUGAACCUAAAUUAAGGAAUAUUUCCACUACCACCUUCUUGAGGUUUGUAAGUGUGCAAAAUUCUUUGAAAAGGGACAGCUAAUGCUAAUAUAGUAUUAAUGUACAAAUUCUUUGGCUAUCAAACUUGAUGUGGACUGAUACCAGAUUCCACAAAAUACGAAUGUUCAUGCUGCAGAGAUUCAUUUGGUUUAGAGGAACCCUGUCCCUGAUAACAUUGAGUAUGCUAUGUUUUACAGCAGGGCUAUAUUCCUUCCUUCCUUACAUUUCCUUACAUUUCCUUGUGUUAUAAAAAAAUCACAUAUUCUGAGACAGAUUUGGCAGCAGAAGCAUGGAUCUUCCCCCCCCUUUUUUUUUUUCAAUUUUAAAGGUUUGCUUCAUGUAUAUGAGUGUUUUGUCUUCGUGUAUGUAAGUGCAACCUACACAAACCUGAUGCCUGCAGAGGCAGAAGAUGUCUGAAAAGGAUGCUUGGUCCCAUAAAGCUAGAGUUAUAGACUGUUGUGAACAACCAUGUGUAUGCUGGGAGCCAAACCCAGGUUCUCUAAAAAGCAACAAAUGGUUUUUAUUUUUCCUUUUAUUGAAAAUGAAUUUCCCACACAAUAUAUCCUGAUUACAGUUUCCCCUCUCCUUCUCUCAGUUCCUCCCCAGCUCCACCCCAGUCCUGAUUCACACCCUUUCUGACUCUCAUUAGAGAACAAACAGGCUUCUGAAUAAAAUAUAAUAUGAUAAAACAAAAACACAUUGGAGUUGGAUAAGACAAACAGGAAAAGAGCCUAAGGGAAGGCACAAAAUUCAUAGAUCCACUUGUUUACACACUCAAGAAUCCC